AAAUUGAAGAGUUUGAUCAUGGCUCAGAUUGAACGCUGGCGGCAGGCCUAACACAUGCAAGUCGAACGGUAACAGGAAACAGCUUGCUGUUUCGCUGACGAGUGGCGGACGGGUGAGUAAUGUCUGGGAAACUGCCUGAUGGAGGGGGAUAACUACUGGAAACGGUAGCUAAUACC
rnacentral:rRNA from 1 species